AAUCCUGUUAGUUCUGCAUGCGAUUUAAAAAAAUUGUUCUGGUAAUACUCUGUUCAACACUACAAGUAAUUCUGCAUCAAGAGAAAGCUCCAAAUAUUCUAACAACCAUUCAGCAUUUCCAAUGAUCUUAGAUCCACGCUUGGUGCGAAAACUGAAAACGAGAGAAAGGAAACGCUGUGGCCAGGUCCAUCUGAUACUGUGAAAUAUUUCUUAUCUUGAUUUUCUCCUGGAUAAGAUCCUGGAGCUUGGCUGGAGCCAAGAUGGCUGAAUAGGAACAGCUCCGGUCUACAGCUCCCAGCGUGAGCGACGUAGAAGACGGGUGAUUUCUGCAUUUCCAUCUGAGGUACUGGGUUCAUCUCACUAGGGAGUGCCAGACAGUGGGCGCAGGACAGUGGGUGCAGUGCACCGUGCGCAAGCCGAAGGAGGGCGAGGCAUUGCCUCACUCGGGAAGCACAAGGGGUCAGGGAGUUCCCUUUCCUAGUCAAAGAAACGGGGGACAGACGGCACCUGGAAAAUCGGGUCACUCCCACCCCAAUACUGCGCUUUUCCGAUGGGCUUAAAAAACGGCGUACCAGGAGAUUAUAUCCUGCACCUGGAUCGGAGGGUCCUAUGACCAUGGAGUCUCACUGAUUGGUAGCACAGCAGUCUGAGAUCAAACUGCAAGGCUGCAGCGAGGCUGGGGGAGGGGAGCCCGCCAUUGCCUAGGCUUGCUUAGGUAAACAAAGCAGCGGGGGAAGCUCCAACUGGGUGGAGCCCACCACAGCUCAAGGAGGCCUGCCUGCCUCUGUAGGCUCCACCUCUGGGGGCAGGGCAUAGACAAAAAGACAGCAGC
rnacentral:lncRNA from 10 species